UCGAUGACGCCACUCGACCCCC
rnacentral:siRNA from 1 species